rnacentral:rRNA from 1 species
AGCGAACGCUGGCGGNUNGCCUAAUACAUGCAAGUCGAGCGGUCCCUUCGGGGGCAGCGGCGGACGGGUGAGUAACGCGUGGGAACGUGCCCUUUGGUACGAAACAACUGAGGGAAACUUCAGCUAAUACCGUAUGUGCCCUUCGGGGGAAAGAUUUAUCGCCAUUGGAGCGGCCCGCGUUAGAUUAGCUAGUUGGUAGGGUAAUGGCCUACCAAGGCGACGAUCUAUAGCUGGUCUGAGAGGAUGAUCAGCCACACUGGGACUGAGACACGGCCCAGACUCCUACGGGAGGCAGCAGUAGGGAAUCUUGCGCAAUGGGCGAAAGCCUGACGCAGCCAUGCCGCGUGAAUGAUGAAGGUCUUAGGAUUGUAAAAUUCUUUCACCGGGGACGAUAAUGACGGUACCCGGAGAAGAAGCCCCGGCUAACUUCGUG